CAGGCAUAAUCUAAGAAUAUAUCAGCAUGGAAGUAAUUCAGCUGAACAGCCUCUGACACCAGGUGCUUUGACAGUAUCCGCAGUUCCUCCUUCUUCCUCUCCAGCUGGUUAGAGAGCUCCAUCUCUGCCAGCCGCUGCUGAUUGAGAAGAAUCAAAUCCCUGGUCACAUCGUGAGGUGCGAUGUCUGCAAUGUGCAUCUGUCGCUCCUCCAGCUCGUGCAGAGUGCGAAGCAAAGGCGAGCAGAGGUAGAGCAUGCACUGCAGGGACUCCAUCCACAUCAUCUGCCCUGGUGGAGACAAGCCAUGGGCAACUGGAUGAACAGCUUGAAAACUAAGAGGAUUGAAACAUCAGAGAUACCAUGUGAAUUAACCCCCUGCAGCAUAAGAGAAAGUACAAUUGUGUCCAGUUAAAGUUCCUUGUUUUGGUAGCAUCAGUUUUUUCAAGAUCUCCCUAAACUCUUAAUUUUUUUUCUGACUCUCAGGAAUACCAGAUUUGACACUCGUUAUGUAAAGUCUGGAAAACAAAUUGGCUGUUGAUGAAUUUCUGGAUGCUGGAGAUGGUGAAGGGUACUUCCGGGUGAACGAUCCUGAAGUACUGAUCCAAGGAGAUGCCCAUGGUCUGAACGCCAGCAAAUGUUCUCUCCACAGAGCUGGGAGCAAGAGGAACUGUAGCUUGGUGGGAACCCAGGCUAAUUGGAAACCCGCCACAGGAAGCCCUGCCAAGGGGUGGUACAGUAUGUGUGCACAGGAGAGGAGACUCAAUCCUCCCCUAGAAGGGGGUCCAUGGUGGAAUUUCACUGCAUCAGAAAUCACUUUUCGAAAGGACUCUGGAAGAAGAAAGCAAUGUAUGUCAUUCUUACUAUCACCACCAUGAUGAGGAUAUGCACACAGGAGGCUUUGUCGACAAGCUGCAUUGUGAUCUCAUCUUUGUAAACCUCAAAAGUCAAGAAAGAAUCCUGGACUCCAGCCUGCAGUCUGCAACAGAGAAGACAAUAGUCCUGUCUCAGCAGUGCUCUAAAUAUAACACGCUUGGGUGACCCAACUGGCAUUUGUUAAGCACUGUUUACUGUGAACACUCCUUAAUCUCCUUCAAGCGUUAUAGUGGAACACACUGCUUCCCAUAAUGAUUAAACAGCACACCCUUUACCUCAGCAUUUCAAAAGCAUUCAUCAAAACAGAGCCAACAGUCCAUCCUGUUUUGCGGAGAAGGACCCGGGGGCUCCCGCAGGUCAGUGAUGCGCCGUGCCGUGGAUGCAGCCCGAGGAGGGCACAGCAGCCACGCACGGCUGUCGCACCCGCGGGCGAGGUGGCUGUGCCGUGGCUGCUGUUCUGCGUUAGCAGAGAGACAGACCCCGCGCUGGAGAUGGCGGGGAAAUGCUGAAAUAUCCCCGACUAGCCCUGUCAGCGCAGCAGCAGCCCAAGGGUGAUGUGCUCCGAAUCCCCCGAAGUCCGCUGGUCAGCAGCAUCCUGCCCGCGGCAGCAGGCGCUCAGCCAGCGGCAGCGACGGACAGAGGCUGUCUGGCUGUCCGUCCGCGGCAGGAGCUGCCUGUCUGUCUGUCUUUCUUUCCAUUCCCGGCAUCACCUGCCUGUCUGACUGUCUUGUCUAUCCCCGGCUGGAGCUGUCGGUCCCCAGCAGGAGCUGCCUGUCUGUCUGUCUGUCCCCGGCAGGCGCUGUCUGUCCGCCCCGGCUCGCCCGCCGCCCCCCGGCCCCGCUCACCAUCCUUUCGCCGCCGCGGCCCCUCCGCCGCCGGUCCCUUCUCGCCGCCGCUGCCGGCCCGGGGGGGUGGCCCGGCCAGGCCCGGCCCCGCCGCGCUCACCGGGGCGGUGACACCCGGUGGCCGCGGGCACAGACGCGCCGCCGGCGCUCGGAGCGGCCCCGGUUGGUGCGGUGCCGGGUGCCCCCCGCGCCCCCCACGGGUCUGGCUGUUUUCCCGCAGAAAACGCGCGGUUUCCGCAGCUGCCGGUGUGUCAGGAAUUCCGAGCGCAGCCAAGAAGCAUCCCGGUGCCGUGGCAUCGCCGGCACGACGGCAGGUCACGGCUGUCCCCCCAUCCCGGUUCCCGCUGCUGGAGGUUGCAGCGCGCCCUGCCAGGAUGUGGUGCGACCAGACCCGGCUGGAUCACCUGGUCCCAAUCUCCUGAGACCCCGCUGGGGCAAAGAGCCGGGAGAGUGACAGGAGCAGAGAAGGUUUCUUGCCAAGGCUUUCUUAGGACUGCUAAUGGGGGAGGCAAUAGGCACCACUACCCAAGGACAGGAGGCUUGUAGGAAGAAGCAGAAUCUUCCAUUCGACUCAGCUCUGCGUUGCUAGUUGCUACCACAGGCCUGACAAGAAGCAGGACAUGAAGCUCCCUGCAUGUGACUGCCACCAUCCAGGCUGUGUCUGCAGCUGCCCAGCCUGUCCAAGAGGAAAGGACAGCAGCAGGGGUGUUAACAGGAACACAGUGAUUGGUGUUAGGUGCAAUGAAUUCAUGGGGUUUAGUGCUUGGCAGAGUUACCUCAUUUCCUAGGUUUAUUUUUGGAAGAAUUGUUUGUAGGUCACUUUUGAGAGUGGGUCCUGAGAGGACAACUAUUUGGGGAAAAACCCUCUCCCCUUGAUAAAGAUGAGCUUCUGUCCUCUGUCAGCCAGACUGGGACAGGCAGCCCUGUGGGUGGUGGAAGCCCUGUGUCACCCACCUCGUCUGCUGUUUGGUGCAGGGGCUGUGGGACACUACAGGGGACUGUGUACUGAGCUAGGGCUCUGUGCCAGUCUGGCAGGGAGGGUUUUUCUCUUGGUGUGGAGAUUCCAAGGCAUUGUGCUCAUGGCUCUGUCUGUGGUUGCUCAGUCCUCCAGUGCUGUACAUGUUCAGCAGGGACAUCAAAAACCUGGGUCUAAGUCCUACACCAGGCACGGGUGCUGCUUUUUUAGUGAUCACAGCCCUUCCACCAGGCCUGUGCUGUCCCUGCCAUCCCACAAACUCCGCUAUACUCCCCCCACCCUUUCUGUCCCACACACAUUGGUGACUCUCCUGCGACCUCAGUGAUAAUAAACCUCUUCUCAAAAGCUGUCCCUUUAGCCAAAGCCUGGUUGCAGCCAGGCCCAGGGGAAGAGAACUAACAAAAGUCUGUGUCCUGCUGUAUUCCUACAGCUGUGUGUAGAGGACUAGUUUAUCACAGAAACAUAUACACAAAUCCUUCUUUAUUUCCUGGACAGUAUCAAAUAUUUAUUUAAACACACACCUGUUGGAGCUAGCAUUGGCCAGCACAACAGAUGACCCAUCUCCUGGUUUUCUGUCCCUACAGUGGUUCUAAGGAGCACCCACAUCUGCUGCAGAGCAAGAGGUGGUCCUGGACUCGCAGUCCUAUCCCCAUCGCUCACCUGGCUGCCAAUACCUAAGGGGAAUAAACACCACAUCAUCUAAGAAUCCUAUGGGGACAAAUUCUUCUACAUCUUUAGGUCUGAGUUUUCAGAGGACUACAGCUCCCAUGAUCCCCAAGAAGAACUGGACCUGAGCUUCAACAGCGAUGCACUUUGGGAAGAGGAGGAAGUACACAAAAAAAAAUCCCGUGCUUAAGCAAGAGAAGUGAAGUUUGAAGAUACAAGACCUUGGAUGAAGCUCCUGUCAGCAGCUGAGUCUGAUCAAGCACUGUGUGCAUCUGACAGCCAGCUUGGCACCACCUCACCACAUGCAGCAACUGGGCUCCAAUGGAUUUCAUGUGCAAGUAGGCCUGAAAGGCAUAUUAAUUUUUAAUUAAAUGUUGAACUUUCAAGUUUAGAAGGCCUCCUCAAGGUAUGUCUCACUAAUAUGUAUGAAUGAGGAGGUAGUUCUUAAGCUAUGUAUUGUUGGUAAGCAUACUAAAACUCCCUACUGAGAAUAAAUAUAUACAUAUUUGUGUAUGUGGGGGGUGUAUAUACACACAUAUAUAUAUUUUUAAAGUAAGACAUCUGGCACAGUAGCACCUUUGCAGCAAGGAGAGCCUCCUGCCUUGCUCUGGUUUGCAUUCAGUGCUGCAGCAGUUUCACAAACCUUGAUGGCUGGGGCAGCUCACCCAGGAGCAGGGAGUCCCUGCUGGUGCAAAGAGCUUCAAUCACAAGGAAAAAUCCUAAAAAUAAUGUCAUAAUCUAAUGCUGACAUGCAUGGAAAGAGCUUGGCAGAGUUAUGCACAGGACUGAUUGGUGUGGUAUAGCUUUCUAUGCAGGGAAGGCUGGCUUGCUUGGGGUUUUUUUGGUGAUGAAUAUCUAGGAAAAAGAGAAGUGGAAGAGGACACAAUAAGAGAGAUAGAAAGUGUUAAUGGUUUGGGCUCUGGAAACAUGUGACUAGAAAAUUAAUGUUGUUCCCUAUGGAAAGAUCUGCACCUGUUUCAUCACAUGUUUUUUUCAGCUAUUUAGCCCUCUUCAGAUCACAUGAGUUUUUUAGGAGUUUGGCAGAAGGUAUGCUGAGCCAGACUUUGUUGCACCUCUCUUCUUUCUGGAUGCUUUCUUACAACUGGAAAGUGUAGGAAAAAAAGCAACUCUGGAAUAUCAUAGCAUUUCUUCUCAUAGGCAACUAUACAUGUUUUCUUGUUAGUAAGCACUGCAUGUCACUCUUUCAACAGCCCAGCACUGUAUUUACUGGAACCCAAGUGUGUGUGGUAAUACCACAGCUCCUGUGUAUAUGAUGCACCAUUACACAAAACUCCAGUAAACAAGUUACUUUUAAUCAUUUCUCUCCCUUUCAGAAGUGCAUUUGUAUAUGUGUUCUCUAACCCAUGGUGAAAGAGUGUUUGUAAUGUAUUAUUAAGAGUAACAGAUGUAUUUGAAUAAGGGAUGUCUGUUAAUUGGGAUAAAUCCUAGAAGUCAGAGUAGUUCUGAAAUGUGAAAGCAGCGUUAGAUAAAAAUUAAAUUUAAAAAAACCCCCAACCAACCAAA